rnacentral:lncRNA from 1 species
AGCACCAGGCCAUCAUUUCCUGCCCUGCACUCCAAGACACGUGGCCCCACAGAGCCCAGGGAUCACGCCAGGUAGUGGACUGUAACCAGCUGGUCUCCCCCCGAGUACUGGAGGAACUUGAAGCAGGCGUGGCCUUUUUCAACAGCCAAAUGAGCCAGACCAAAUCCUUUCCAGCAGCAUCCUGCAGCACUUUAAAGAAGUGUGCAUUGAUCGAGGAGCUAGCUGGCACGCACGCAGGCAGACGGCCACCUCACCGGAAUUCCCAGUGAGACGCAGUGGCAAGGGCCGCAUCGAUUGACUCAUCAACACUUUGGAGUUGAGCAGAGAGAAAGAAACUCAGCUGGACAUGGGGAGGCACAAGUGACGGGUGCUGACGGCCUCUUCUGUAAUGGAUUCUUGAGCCAGAUGGUUCCUUCUCCUGGAUGUCAGGGCAGCAGAUGCAUGUGACUUCACCAAGCGUCAGAUGAACCAAACACUUGGCAAAAGCUGAAGCUGGCUCCCCUAGUCUUCUGUGCCGUGGCUGUGGUGCCUUUCUCUUCCUCAGAAGAUGCCCGAUUCCAAAGCUGCAGCCCUCAGCGAUGCCUGUCAGCAGUCUCAGGGGUAGGGCAUGGGGGACUCAGCACUUUCUCUUAAGCCUCCCAGGUGGAUUCAAAGCUCCGUCCUUUGGGAGCCCCAGCGCCUGCAAAGCUGCGCUGAGGGAGGAGGUGGGGCCUUGGGUGGAACAGUCGGGAAUCCUGGGUCCCGUGGCUCCUCCUUGCCCCUGGAGCCAAUGAGGAGAGACACAUCCCAAGAAGGCCCCAGGCUGGGGCAGCCCCCUCAAUCGGGACACCACAGCUCCUAGGACCUCUACUGCAGACCUUGGGGUCUCUGGCUUGGGGCAAGGAGGCCCUGGAAUCAGAGGACAGGUCUGAGGUCAUCUGUGCAACAUAAACGCUCGUGGAUUUCCACUACCUUUACAGACAGAAUUGCACUGGCGACAUUUUAUGCUAGAGAUUUAUCGACACAAAUGAGAAGUUUCUGUUCUGAUACAACCACCAUGAUUUCAUGAGAGGGUUGGUUCUUCAGCCUGCAGUCUGUGGGUCUCUGGCUAACACUUAGGCCAACAAGACCACGUGUGCAUUCAGUCAAUCGGAGGUGAGCAGUGCUCUUUAGUGCCGUCCUGUUACAUUCCAGCCAGUCAGACAGCAAGCGUAUUCAGCCAAUCAGAAGUAAGCAUUGCUGUGCACUCCAUCCCCAUCACAUUCAGCCUAAUCAGACCACAAAUGCAUUCAGCCAAUCGGAAGUGAUCACUAGUCUGAGCCCUCACCCACCGGGAUCCAUAAUAUUGUUAUACCUGUUCUAUUAAUUCAUAAAUGGCCUUCAUUGAUGUGGCCGUUAAUAUGUGCUGUAGAUCAGCUGAAGAGUGAUGUGCCUGCCCUAGGAACCAACUGUUCAUCACAAAUGUAUGCCCAUGACAAAAAUGUAUACAUCAGGCUGGGCACAGUGGCUCAAGCCUGUAACCUCAACACUUUGGGAGGCCGAGGCUGGAGGAUCACCUGAGGUCAGGAGUUCAAGACCAACCUGGCCAACAUGGUGAAACCCCAUCUCUACUAAAAAUUCAAAAAUUUAGCCGAGCAUGGUGGCACGUGCCUGUAAUUCCAGCUACACAGGAGGCUGAGGCAGGAGAAUCGCUCGAACCCAGGAGGCAGAGAUUGCGGUGAGCUGCAAUUGCGCCCAUGCACUCCAACCUGGGAAACACAGUGAGACUCCAUCUCAAAAAAAAAAAAAAAAGAAAAGAAAAAAGAAAAAAAAGUAUACAAGCAAGAAAAGUUAACACCGCCGGAGUUGAUUUAUCCAUUAAGUACAUAGGCAUCUUGUCCAAGGCCCAAGGAAAUAUUUUAAUUUAUUUUUUAGAAAAGUAAGUAAAUACAAUCUGUCUUGGAGUAUGUUUGUCUUUAUACUAACACAGUGCCAAAAUAUAUUUUUUAAUAUUUUUAUGGAGGAAGGGGCCUAUGAAGGCAAAAGUCCCUAAGGCCCAAGGAAGUCAUGCUUCAAGCAAAUAGGAAGAAUUGGAUCAUCCUGAAGGCCUGUACAGCUCUAACCAUCUGUGGUUGCAUAUAACCAUUCUCUUUUCCCUCCAUUAUUACAAAAGAUAGUAGACUUCGGAGAAGGAAUGUGUCAGUCUGGACUGUUGGUUUCAGGGGCAGAAAACCAACUCGAAUUAACUUGGGCAAAAGCGGAAGAUUUUUAACUCUUGUCACUGAAAACUCUAGGAGUAGUUCUGGCUUCAGUCAGAGCUGGGUUCAGAGACUCAGUAAAUCCCAAGUUCCCAGGUCUCCCCAUCUCUCAGCUCCCAUUCCACUUUCUGGCCCUGCCCUGUAGUCACAAGAUGGCAGCAGCUUUUUCACACUUACUUCUACUCUUUUCGGGCAUCUGAGGUUCAUUCUGUCUGGACCAGCUCAAGCCAACUUGCCACCCUGCGUGACCCAGGAGAAUCCUAUGCUCUGACUGGCUUAGGCCUGGGUCACCUGCCUUAUUCUAACCACCAGGUAAGAGGCAGAGAGGGAUUUCAGGCAAAAAUCGGGCUAUUCUGGAAGUGGAGAAAAUGAAUGCAGGAGGCAGAUGACACCUGCUGGAUGGACUGCCCUCUGAUCUGCACUGUGGAACAGCUGCUCCACCUUACAGCUGAGACGCCUCCACCUACAUCAGCUUAUUGCACCACCUAGCAACACCAGGACUAGGAUAUCAUCAUCCCCUUUUCACAGGAAGUGAGGAGAGAGGAUGAUCACAAACCUGAGAGAGGAGGAGGAGAAAACACAGGAAGGAUGAAAAAUCCCUGAGGAAGUUUUACCAAGGCGCCGCCCUGCCUCCCCGCCCUGCCCCAGGUGCUGGUCGGUUCAUUGCUCUCCAUUUAGGAGACUUCUUCCCAGCCUUUUUAGUGGUUUAACAAACAUAUUCAUUUCCAUGUCAUCCUCACGAUUUUGCCACUUGUAUUUUUGUUUACUUAUUUUCUUAAGUCAACUCAUUAUUAUACUUGCAAACAGUAUGUAAAUAUCAACUUCAUAGGGCAACUGUCAAUCAAAAGGAGUACCACUUGCCUCAAAUAAAAAUUAACUUCAGGAUCAACAGAGAACUAUUAAACUUAAUAACAGCCAUCCGCACAGCCCUCAAAAUCAUCUCACAUCCAAAGCAGGGUCCUCAGACUCACUCUGGGGAAUCAGAGCUACCUGGUCACACCGGAACACUAGCAAUCACCAUGCUCGUUAUUCUGCCACAUGCAUUCUGCCAGGCAUGCCUGCACCUCCCCUGUGUUCUGAUAUGCAGGGGAGGGAAGGCAGAGGGCCCUAGGAGCA